GAGCCGGAAGCCCACUCUUGCAACUACAACAGUCUUGGUAAACCUUGGGUGGACUGGGGAGAACUGAGGAGGGGAAGCGCUUUUUUGUUGCUUCUCUGUGUUUUCUAUUUUAUUUUAUUUAUUUUAUUUUUAGAUUUUCAGUUCUUAUUUCACCCAGGGAAGGAGACCUGGGUAUCCACCCCAUGUCCUCCAGAGAACUUCCCUGGCCCCGCUCGGAGUCUUCCUGGGACGCCACAGGCUCGGAGAGCGCUCCGCAGGUUUCUCCCCCGGCGCCUCCAAAUCUUUCGAUUCCUACUCGAAUUACUCCGUCAGCUGCUGGAAGAGGGGCAAGGGGUAUGGCGAGACGCGUUGGUACAUGGGGCACUGGGGGGAAGGGAAAGCCUCCCUCCUUCUCCUAGUAAUUCGAGAAUGUUGCGUCCGCCUCCUUUCUUUUGCUGGCGCUAGGGGCUCGGACCAGCACCUGCCAGGCAUAGGUGUGGCCACUGGGGCGAAACCUGGCAGGCUCUGGAAACAGCGUUUUACUGACAGGAAAGAGAAACUGUUCUUUGUAUUCAUCACCCACCGCAGACUUCCUCACGCCCGGGUCUUAGGCGGGGCUGUCAGAUUUCAGUGUGUUUCUCUUAAUUCUAGUACUAAAUUUGUACUGGGCGCUGGCGAAGGGCCUGGCUCCGCCACGCGCGGCCCUCUCGAACUGCCCGUGGGUACGGCGCGCGCUGCUGCCCUGUGUGGCCUGUGCGGGGAACCCGAGGGCCGAAGUGGGCCCCGCCGCAGCACAGGGGGACAAGAGAACCAGGAGCGGGCUGCCUGGGGGCAGAUUCGAACCCGUGCUCCCAGCGGAUAGAAGUAGCACUUGGGGACUCCUAAAAUAUUCAGCCCAAUCCUGAUUCCAGCUGCCCUCUCUAGGCACCUUUCCUCUACCCUUCUUCCAGUUUACAAUUCUGGUGAGUAGAUGUUUCUCUAUCUCUUCUCUUCCAACUCCUGCGCCCAGAGCCAGGAGGACUUCUGGAGCCCGCCCAGCAAGACCCUCUCUCUCCCAUCUUCUGCUCAAGGGCUCGAGGUCUCAGUGGACAGAGCUGAAGAAAAGCCGUCUAUGGAGCCUGCGCCAGGCGCAGACUGGGUCGUCGCAGUCUGGGUCGUCGCAGUCUGGGCCGGGGCGCUGGAAGUCUUACUCACUUCUCAAGAACCCGCAAGGGAUCAGGCCUGACCCUUUGCAAGUGACAGAAUCCAAAGCUUUGAGCUCAUGGGAAAGUGGCUGGAAAGAAGGUCACUGUAGGGCCGCACAGGUCUCUGGCGAGGCUACCCAAGAACAUUUAAAUCCCUGCCCAGAGAAGAAGAGGCUCCAGCUGUCCUGCACCUUCCUGGGAACUGGCAGUCCCUCCGCGCAGGGGUUCUGCAGCGACCGGCAGCGCGAGGAGACAAGGAUGGUGGCCAGUUAACAGAAAAUCAAGGCAGCGGGAAAGGUCUGGAAAACACCACCUACUAUCACCUCUGGAGCCUGGGAUUAUGGGAUAAGUUUUCGAUUUUUAAAUGUAUUGUCAAAUAGCUAAAGUACACGGAAAGUGCGAAAUAAUAGUAAAUUGAACACCUGUGUAUUCACCACACAGCUUAAGCAAUAACAUUAGCAAUAUUUGGGUACCCAGCUGGUCUCAUUCCCUCAUUCCACUUGUCCCCUACUCACCUGAUAGCCAGUACAAUUUUAUGAAUUUAAAGUUACUAAUUCCCAUGCAACUGUUUAUACUUUUAGUAAAUGUGUUUAUGUCCCUCA
ensembl:lncRNA novel transcript, antisense SLFN5